CAGUAGCCGCGGGAAUACAGAGGGUGCGAGCGUUAAUCGGAUUUACUGGGCGUAAAGCGUGCGUAGGCGGCUUCUUAAGUCGGAUGUGAAAUCCCUGAGCUUAACUUAGGAAUUGCAUUCGAUACUGGGAAGCUAGAGUAUGGGAGAGGAUGGUAGAAUUCCAGGUGUAGCGGUGUAAUGCGUAGAGAUCUGGAGGAAUACCGAUGGCGAAGGCAGCCAUCUGGCCUAAUACUGACGCUGAGGUACGAAAGCAUGGGGAGCAAACAGGAUUAGAUACCCCCGUAGUCCCUGUCUCUUAUAC
rnacentral:rRNA from 1 species